ACGCUGGCGGCAGGCCUAACACAUGCAAGUCGAGCGGUAGAGAGAAGCUUGCUUCUCUUGAGAGCGGCGGACGGGUGAGUAAUGCCUAGGAAUCUGCCUGGUAGUGGGGGAUAACGUUCGGAAACGGACGCUAAUACCGCAUACGUCCUACGGGAGAAAGCAGGGGACCUUCGGGCCUUGCGCUAUCAGAUGAGCCUAGGUCGGAUUAGCUAGUUGGUGGGGUAAUGGCUCACCAAGGCGACGAUCCGUAACUGGUCUGAGAGGAUGAUCAGUCACACUGGAACUGAGACACGGUCCAGACUCCUACGGGAGGCAGCAGUGGGGAAUAUUGGACAAUGGGCGAAAGCCUGAUCCAGCCAUGCCGCGUGUGUGGAGAAGGUCUUCGGAUUGUAAAGCACUUUAAGUUGGGAGGAAGGGUUGUAGAUUAAUACUCUGCAAUUUUGACGUUACCGACAGAAUAAGCACCGGCUAACUCUGUGCCAGCAGCCGCGGUAAUACAGAGGGUGCAAGCGUUAAUCGGAAUUACUGGGCGUAAAGCGCGCGUAGGUGGUUAGUUAAGUUGGAUGUGAAAUCCCCGGGCUCAACCUGGGAACUGCAUUCAAAACUGACUGACUAGAGUAUGGUAGAGGGUGGUGGAAUUUCCUGUGUAGCGGUGAAAUGCGUAGAUAUAGGAAGGAACACCAGUGGCGAAGGCGACCACCUGGACUGAUACUGACACUGAGGUGCGAAAGCGUGGGGAGCAAAC
rnacentral:rRNA from 1 species